AAUCAACGCUGGCGGCGUGCCUAACACAUGCAAGUCGAGCGAGAAAAGGGGGGCGAACCCCUACGAGUAAAGACGGCAGACGGGUGAGUAACACGUGAACAAUCUACCCUCGAGUGGGGAAGUAACACCGCGAAAGCGGUGCUAAUACCGCAUAAGAUCCCAUAGUCGCAUGAGCGUGGGACCAAAAGCGCAAGUUGCUUGAGGAGGAGUUCGCGGCUGAUUAGCUAGUUGGGAGGUAACGGCCCACCCAAGGCAACGAAUCAGUAGCCGGCCUGAGAGGGUGAACGGCCACACUGGAACUGAGACACGGUCCAGACUCCUACGGGAGGCAGCAGUGGGGAAUUUUGCGCAAUGGGCGAAAGCCUGACGCAGCAACGCCGCGUGGAGGAUGAAGUAUUUCGGUAUG
rnacentral:rRNA from 1 species